CCCCUCUCAGGAUCACUCCUGGAGAGUUUCCAGUACUCUACCAGUUUUGGCUAAGGGAGGGAGAGUCAAGUGGCGGCCUACCCAUUCCAUUCCUAGCUUGGGCAGUGACUAGAGAGUGGAAGGCAAUCUGUGGCAUGU
rnacentral:snoRNA from 2 species